rnacentral:rRNA from 1 species
UAAUCAUUUGUCUACUAAUUAUAGACCUGUAUGAAAGGCAAAAUGAGAGCUCCACUGUCUCCUGUAAUCCAUCAAUAAAACUGAUCUCCCAGUCCAAAAGCUAGGAUAAACCCAUAAGACCAGAAGACCCUGUGAAGCUUCAAUUAACCCAUUAACCCCAUUAAUAGCUACUUUCGGUUGGGGCGACCUUGGAAAAAAAAGAAACUUCCAAACCAUGACCUAACUUCAUCCACAUAGGCCCACAAGCCACUAUAGACCCAGAUUUCUGAUUACUGAACCAAGUUACUCCAGGGAUAACAGCGCCAUCUUCUUCAAGAGCCCAUAUCAAAAAGAAGGUUUACGACCUCGAUGUUGGAUCAGGACACCCAAGUAGUGCAACCGCCACCAAAGGUU